CCUGAACUCAAAAUAACCAU
rnacentral:piRNA from 1 species